rnacentral:rRNA from 1 species
UACGAAGGGGGCUAGCGUUGUUCGGAAUCACUGGGCGUAAAGCGCGCGUAGGCGGAUUGCUAAGUCAGGGGUGAAAUCCUGGAGCUCAACUCCAGAACUGCCUUUGAUACUGGCGACCUUGAGUCCGGGAGAGGUGAGUGGAACUGCGAGUGUAGAGGUGAAAUUCGUAGAUAUUCGCAAGAACACCAGUGGCGAAGGCGGCUCACUGGCCCGGUACUGACGCUGAGGUGCGAAAGCGUGGGGAGCAAACAGG